rnacentral:tRNA from 2 species
GACGUCAUCGUAUAAAGGUUAAUACUCCUGCCCUUCACGUAGGCAAUGCGAGUUCGAUUCUCGCUGACGUUA